GUAUGUUUUACUAACUUCAAAUUUGAACUUACCAAAAAGGUAAUACAUAUUCGAUUUUUCCCUUCACAAAUAAACUAAUUAUGUAAAAAUGCUACCUAGCUUCAAAUUAUUAAGCUGUAAAUAAGAUUCGUAAGUUUAAUUAACUUAUGAGUGAUAGAAGGUAGUAAGAAUACUACUUAGCUACUGUAGCUCACUGCUCACCCAUAUUAGUCAGCAAGAAUACAGAGGCACAACUCAAGUAGCUUAAAGACCAUAAAAAAUUCAGUGACAAUAAGAAAAUUACCAAUUAAAAAAUGUAUCUUUAUUUUAUCCCAAGUCAGUUUUGUUUAGAUACUCUGUACCGUUACUUCACAUAACAAUAUCUUCAUCACGAAAGAAAUUGAAGAAGAUAUUUGGGAAUUUUCCUUGUAUUCCAUUGAAUAAUCUGUACAUGUAUUUCUACAACUUUAAUCUAGGGACUAAUAGUGUAAAUGGAAUUAAAAUAAAUUCCUAACUAACAACAGCUAUGCUAAAAACUAAUUUUGUACUUUUGCACACCUGUACAUUCUAGAAGAAAUUCUACACAGGAUUCUCUAUUUGUAUAUCUUCAUUUUCUGCAUUUGUAUACUGACUAUAUAUUUCAUUUCCGCAUCUUGGGCCUAUUUCAGUGCAUAAGUCUUCUAGCUUGGCCCAAAUAUUUCAUUGCUUAUGCUCGGCCCAUUUUUCUUUGUUUUUGAAAUUUGUGGUUGAAAGACUCUUUCCGACAAAAUCGAAGUUACUAAGUUAUUGUCAGUUGUCUUCUUUAUUUUCUUUCUUCAUCAAUUCGUCUCAAAUUCUUCAUUGUUACUAUGUGAGAGAUAUAAAGGAUCCAAAUGAGAGGAGUUUUCUCCAACAUCCCCCCUCAAAUUGGAGGGUAAGGACGAAACCCCCAAUCUGUCCCAAAAAACCUCAAUGAGAAGCUCCAGACAGUGGUUUUUUAAAAAUAUCGGCCAGUUGAACUUGCGAAGGAAGAAAUGAAAGUGAAAUUAAGCCGGAUUGAAGUUCUUGACGCACGAAAUGGCAGUCAAGCUCCACAUGCUUGGUUCUCUCGUGAAAUACGGGGUUCCGAGCUAUGUGAAUAGCGCUUGGCUGUUAGAAUGUAUGGGAACUGAGAGAGAUGGUGAUAUUGAUAGAUCUUGAAGAAGGCGAACAAGCCAUGUGAGUUCAGCUGUGACACGUCGCAUUGAUCUAUAUUUUGCUUUAGCUGAGGAGAGAGAUAUGGAAACCUGUUUCUUCGACUUCCAACAAAUAGGUGCACCCCCAAGUGUGAUGCAAAGUCCAGAGACUGAUUUACGCGAAUCCAGGCAAGAGGCCCAAUCCGCACCACAAUAAGCAACUAAGGCGAAGGAAGGAGUAUAUGAAAGAAAAAUACCCUGUCCUGGGUCUAAAGAAAGGUACUUUACAACUCAAAGAGCUGUAGAAAAAUGGGACAUGCAUGGUUUUUACAUAAAUUAGCUCAGUUUCAGCACAACAAAGGGUCAAGAGGAGAGGAAAUUGUAGGCAAAUGGGCGAAGUCAAACUCAUGUAACAAAUCCUAGGUGGAAAACUUUCUCCCCAUUUGACCUUCCAGACCUGUGUUCAAGGCUAUCCCAUAGUUCUUUAGCAGUUGUUGAAAAAAUGAUAUUGUCCUUAAUCUCUUUGGACAAGGAAUUCAACAACCAGGCAGUCACCAUGUCAUUGCAACAAUUCCAUUGCUUAAACUCAGUAGAGUUCACAUCCGGUGCUUUGCAGUGACCAUUGAUGAAACCCAAUUUUUUCUUUGCUGAAAAAGAAAUCAUCACAGAUCUUCUCCAUCCUGGUUACCCCUUUCAUUCAAAGAUAGUACUAACAAGAUUCAUCCCAGGUGUAUCUGAAGGAUGAAGAUGAUGAGGGUUGUUUGUUUCCACUGGAACAACAUUUUCAGUGUGUGCUGCUUAGGUUUUUUCAGUAUUGUCAGCCAUAGUGAAUGAUCAAGACAAGUAAAUGAAAGGAAGAUGAUUUUGAUGCUGAAAAGAGAUUUGAAUCGAGCUCACUGCUCUGAUACCGUGAAAGAAAUUGAAGAAGAUAUUUGAGAAUUUUCCUUGUAUUCCAUUGAAUAAUUUGCACAUGUAUUUAUACAACUCUAAUCUAGGGACUAAAAGUGUAAUUGCAAUUAAAAUAAAUUCCUAACUAACUAUAGCUAUGCUAAAAACUAAUUUUGUACUUUUGCACACUUGUACUUUCUAUAAG